UCCUGAUGACAAAUAAAGAACGAACUUAUAGAGAGAGAGAGAGAGAGAGAGAGAGAGAGAGGUUCUUUAAUGUCGGCGAUGGAGGAGGAGUCCUCCAAAUGGAUGAUCGAACAGGCGAAGGAGGAGCUGCAGAUUCUGGAAGCCCAACACCCGAAUCGAUUUGGGUUUCUCAAGAUGGAGCUUAGAAACUUCAUCAAUGAAGAAACCAAUACAUCAUCUCCCUUAUAUUUCCACAACAGUUUUGUAUCGUUUCGGAAGGACUCCAUCCCUUCCACGCCUAACUCCUCUGCAACCACACAAGCUUCAUCAAAUGGAAAGAGGAGGAAGUUUUCUGAGAUUGAAAAACCUGAGGAUAAUCCACAAUCAACAAAGCGAAUACUUCGAAGGUCGAAUCACUCAAUGGAGAAGCUCGAUGCUGCCAUUGAAAGGGCUAAAGAAUGCCUAAGAAAAAUCCAAGAAAUCAAAAGAAGUUUUGCAAAUCCAUGAGACAUUAUGGGGAGAAAUGUAUAUAGAUUUGUCAUCUGGAUUCUUGGACCUUCACAGCGACGAAGAUACUGAUGGCGACGGAGAUAUCAACGGCGAGGUGUGACAGAUCGACGGUGACGAAGGGAUCGAGAGUGACAAAGUGACCAGCCAAUCUCCACCACCCUGUGAUGUAUGUGUCUGAAACCAAACGCCUUAUUUUUCCCUUUCCCCACCUGAACCAAAACAAACAAAUCACAGAGAGAAAGAGAGAGUAGCGAGACUUACUUUCAUUGUCCCUUUCUCCACGUUCUUCCUUGCUUUGUUUCAAAAUAGUCACCUUGUGCUUGAAGCUUCA